UACGUAGGGUGCAAGCGUUGUCCGGAAUUAUUGGGCGUAAAGAGCUCGUAGGCGGUUUGGCGCGUCUGCUGUGAAAACCCGAGGCUCAACCUCGGGCCUGCAGUGGGUACGGGCAGACUAGAGUGCGGUAGGGGAGAUUGGAAUUCCUGGUGUAGCGGUGGAAUGCGCAGAUAUCAGGAGGAACACCAAUGGCGAAGGCAGAUCUCUGGGCCGUAACUGACGCUGAGGAGCGAAAGCAUGGGGAGCGAACAGG
rnacentral:rRNA from 1 species